GACGAACCGAGCGAACGUUGUUCGGAAUCACUGGGCUUAAAGGGCGCGUAGGCGGGUGCUCAAGUCCGGGGUGAAAUCCUCCAGCUCAACUGGAGAACUGCCUCGGAUACUGGGUGCCUCGAGUGUGGUAGGGGUGUGCGGAACUAUCGGUGGAGCGGUGAAAUGCGUUGAUAUCGAUAGGAACUCCGGUGGCGAAGGCGGCACACUGGACCACAACUGACGCUGAGGCGCGAAAGCCAGGGGAGCAAACGGGG
rnacentral:rRNA from 1 species